rnacentral:lncRNA from 1 species
AUAAAACACCCGACUUGAGAAACAUUUGAAAGUUGGGAAACUUUCUCUGUCACUUCCUUUUGUUUUGCCCUAACCCGAUAUCAGAAAAUUCUCAUUUUCAUAGCUCGUUUGAUACAUGAAGAUAGGCAGCCGAUUCGUUUAUUGACGUUCUGACCAGGUGAUGGAUACCCAUCUUCCCAAAGUCGUCUUCGUCUCAUUUGGCCUAACCCUAGUGUGUCUCUCUUCACGAGUUGACCACCCAAACCCAAUAAGAAUCUUCCAAAAACCUUCAAUGAAGUAAAGUCGAGGCAUAUCUUCAUAUUUCUUCAUCAAAUGUGGAAUUUUUUUA